UACAGAGGUCCCGAGCGUUGUUCGGAUUCACUGGGCGUAAAGGGUGCGUAGGUGGUUAGGUAAGUCCGAUGUGAAAUCUCCAGGCUCAACCUGGAAAUGGCAUUGGAUACUAUUUAGCUUGAGGAGUGGAGGGGGGACUGGAAUUCUCGGUGUAGCAGUGAAAUGCGUAGAUAUCGAGAGGAACACCAGUGGCGAAGGCGAGUCUCUGGACAUUUCCUGACGCUGAGGCACGAAAGCCAGGGGAGCAAACGGG
rnacentral:rRNA from 1 species